GGAGAGAUCCGGUACCGGCUGGGCAUGCGGCGCAUUAGCUAGUUGGCGGGGCAACGGCCCACCAAGGCGACGAUGCGUAGGGGUUCUGAGAGGAAGGUCCCCCACACUGGAACUGAGACACGGUCCAGACUCCUACGGGAGGCAGCAGUGAGGAAUAUUGGUCAAUGGGCGCAAGCCUGAACCAGCCAAGUCGCGUGAGGGAAGACGGCCCUACGGGUUGUAAACCUCUUUUGCCGGGGAGCAAGCCUGAGCACGUGUGCCCAGGCGGAGAGUACCCGGAGAAAAAGCAUCGGCUAACUCCGUGCCAGCAGCCGCGGUAAUACGGAGGAUGCGAGCGUUAUCCGGAUUUAUUGGGUUUAAAGGGUGCGCAGGCGGGCUGUUAAGCCGGCGGUAAAAAUUCAGGGCUCAACCCUGUCGAGCCGUCGGAACUGGCAGUCUUGAGUGGGCGAGAAGUAUGCGGAAUGCGUGGUGUAGCGGUGAAAUGCAUAGAUAUCACGCAGAACGCCGAUUGCGAAGGCAGCAUACCGGCGCCCGACUGACGCUGAGGCACGAAAGCGUGGGGAUCGAACAAAAGUAGAUACCCUGGUAGUCCACGCAGUAAACGAUGAGCGCUAACUGUCCGGAGCGAGCGAGCUCUGGGUGGUACAGUGAAAACGUUAAGCGCUCCACCUGGGGAGUACGCCGGCAACGGUGAAACUCAAAGGAAUUGACGGGGGCCCGCACAAGCGGAGGAACAUGUGGUUUAAUUCGAUGAUACGCGAGGAACCUUACCCGGGCUCAAACGUAAGCGGAAUAACGGUGAAAGCCGUUAGCUAUUUAUAGCCGCUUACGAGGUGCUGCAUGGUUGUCGUCAGCUCGUGCCGUGAGGUGUCGGCUUAAGUGCCAUAACGAGCGCAACCCCCAUCGCCAGUUGCUAACAAGUAACGUUGAGGACUCUGGCGAGACUGCCGGCGCAAGCUGCGAGGAAGGCGGGGAUGACGUCAAAUCAGCACGGCCCUUACGUCCGGGGCGACACACGUGUUACAAUGGCAGGUACAGAGAGAAGCCAUCCCGCGAGGGAGAGCGGAACUUUAAAGCCUGUCUCAGUUCGGAUUGGAGUCUGCAACCCGACUCCAUGAAGCUGGAUUCGCUAGUAAUCGC
rnacentral:rRNA from 1 species